rnacentral:rRNA from 1 species
GUAAUUUUACGUGGACGUCGAGAGCCCACUUCCGUCCUAAAGAAAAAAAAGGCCAACUACCUCGUCCAUUUCUAAUCUGGGAUGAGUCAUCUAAAAAAACAGGGGCGGAGUGGAUGAGGGGUGCGAUCGUCCGAGCGCCGAGCGGCGGUUGGGCUCCGGCGUCGUGGAACGCGGCGGGCCGAGCCGUCGUGUUGCAACGUCGGUAGUACUUGGGGUCAGGGCUUCUUCAUGAUACGGGGGCAUCUCCCGUGUGGACGGGGACUCGUCGGCUGAGUUGCCGGCGGCGAACACUUGGCCGAAGACGGGCCCACUCCAUGAGCCAGGGGCUGCGGGCGGCGUCCUUGGCUGGAGGGCAAGCUGGUCGUUGUUGGGCGGCGCGGGAGUCGUGUCUGCUGCUUGAAGAGGUACUUUGACGCUCUCCGAUAGAUACCCCAGUCCUAGCAAUUUGCUUCAAGAUCCAGCUUUGUCUGUUUGAUUCAUUUUUACGAGAGUUUUGUUUGAUUCCUUCAUUCAUACAACUUCUACAUAGAUUGCUUUGUUACGCCCGACUACUCGACUAGAAGGAGAUCCUCGCAGGCUCGCAGCAUAUCCCUCAAUUUAUUGCCAGAAUGUUUCCAGGGUAUCCCUAUUUUAGUUGCCUCGUAUCUUGGACUAUUGCUGCAGGAGCGUCAGAAACAUGCAUUAAAUACUUGACCAUGAUCACCACAUGGUACACGUUAUUUGAUCAUGUAGCGAUUUAGUUCAUAUUGUUGAUUGGUGGGGAACAAACAGACUAAUGGUCAAUUUGGUAAUGUUGCAUCUAGGUCUUGUUCUCACCCACUAAUCAAGAAAGCCAUUAAACCUUUCUCCUUCACUCUGUGCUAGUAAUUCCCAAAAAUAACCAAACAAAAGAUUGGACAUAAAAUUAAUUCCCUUGCCCAAUAUCCUACUAACUCCCUCCUCUAUAUCUCCUCUUCUCCUUGAUCAACCCACAAACCAAGAGGACUAAUCCUCUUCUCCUUGAUCUCCUUGAUAGUCCAGCAAUCAGCAAGUUGAAAAGAUUAAAAUCAAGGUUCCAUGAUAAUUCCUUUGAAUCUCGUUGUAAGGUACGCUUUUCGGAUAUUCCAUUUCAAACUUAAGGUGCAUUCCUUUUCCUUCGGUCAAUAUAAAGUACGUAGUUUAAUUUGUCUAACCUUGUGUGCAUAGGGUUUCUUUCACACGAGAGGUAAAGAUGUUCCUUGUAUAAUAUUUAGGUUCUGCAGUAAAAAUAUUGUUUUAAUUGGCAGUUGUUUACCUGUCAGUCACACAAGCCUUUAUAUAUUAGGCCUUAGAUGCUACUAAGUACUAACCGUUAUCCCUUUGUAACAGAAGAGCAGAAUUUCCACUCCCUAGUUGUUGAUCAUAUUUCUCUGUGUCACAUCCUAGUUCCAACAAUGCAUGCUGAUGGUCCACCUUGUUGAUUGCAUGCUGAUAUUGUGAGAUAUUUGAUUAUGCUUGAUAAUAUUAGUAGCAAAGAGUGCCUCAUUAAAAUUCUUAGUUGGAGAGUGAAAUUUGCGUUAGUCGUAUGUACUGAAUUUUACGGCAGUCAUAAGAUGAAAUUGUUCCUGUGAAACUGUGGACUGAAAGUGAGGAUUAUUCUGUAUCUUUACAUUACACGGGAUCAAGCUGAUCCUGGUGCUCAAUAGUAUGAUAGUUUAGCCCCUGCAUAAAUUGUGGGAAAUCCCACGUGCAUGAAAAAUGAAGGACUCAAAGGUUAACAUAAUCCAUUUUAUAAAUCAUCGUGCAUCUUGAUUAUGUAUGAGAUUAUUCUGGGAUACCGCCUCCAUUAAUUAUGUAUUAGAGAGGGAAUUUAUCUCUUGCGAUAAACUGAGGAGGGCAACAGUUAUGUUUGUCCCUGCAAUACUGAGAUGUGUAUUUCUACAUCUGGCGUAUAGCUUAACUAUUUCAGGGCUCUACAGACCAGUUUUUAUCCAGAAGAAAGGCCUUUAGUGUGCGUUUGGAUCUGAAGAAACAAAGCAAGAUAUGGCUGUCAUUCCUCCUAACUUGGCUAGUUACUAAUAUCUCCUUGAUCUUUUGAGAAGGUAGUCUUGGUGAGUGUUUGGGCAAUAGAGAACAUAACUUGGAAUUUCCGUACGUGUUUACUGUAUUCAUUUAUUCUGGAUUAGAAGCUUAAUUUCUGAAUUUUAUAGUUCAGGAGUAGCUACCUCCUGAUGUACUGGUGUAAUUUAAUAGUUUCAUCGAAUGUGAAUCAGAAGCAGACUAAGGUAUACCCUAGUGGUGGGAAGGGGCUGAUGCCUUCCCACCCACCCAGGUUCAAGGCAUGGUACUUGCAAUUUGGGGUUGUUGCACGAAUUAUACUGUAGGGGGUUCCCUUACAGUCUUUCUGUCAAAAAAAAUGUGAAUCAGAAGUAUAUGUUGUUAACAUAGUUGGAUAUACAUAUCAUGUGAUCUUGCUUUUCUAAGGUGUUUGAUGAGUUCAAUGCAAUGAAACAGAUGAGCUGAACAUAUUCAAUGUUUUUAGUGGGAAUCACUUCGUGGCCAUUCUGGUGAUAAUGGUUGUACUCCAGGUAAAAAAAAGAGUGUAAUUCUUCUAUUCCACAUAUGUAGUUGUUUUGGUUAUUGUUAUAUGUUGUUUCCUUUGUAUAUAUGCAAGCUCUUAUCAUCGAGUUUCAUUGGCAAGUUAACUUUAACAAUCAUAUUAAGCUGGCAGCUAUGGUUGGUACUGAUGGGAGUUGCUCAUUUUAGGUGCUGAUGGUCCAAGAAUUGUAAAGAUAAGGCGGGGGAACCUUAUUUGUGUGGUGGAUGCAAGUAUGUUAUGAGGUCAAUUUGUAACUUAUUAUACUGCAGUAACAGACCAAGCCAUGAAUCAGUAGCAAACUUCAGGAUUGGUGAGAAGAAACAUGAACUUAUAAUGUUGUUAGGACCCUAAUCUUGACUUGUCGCUGAUGGACCACAAUGUUCAAGCUCACCAAAUACUGUUGAACAGCUAACAUUAUUGGGUCUCAAAACACCUGCAAAUUAAGUCGCUUGACGAAAGUUCAGACAUGUGUCAAGUCUUGGCAUUCCCAUGUAAUCAGUGGUGUUCAUUUUUGAAAUACUGCUUUGUACUCCCUCCAUAACAAAAUGUAAGAUUUUUUUAUGCCCUAUGCAAACCAAAAAACGUCUUAAUUACAUUUUGGUACGAAGGUUGUGAUUUUAUUUUCCUGUAGCUGGUUACUGAGUGGCAUGCAGCAGAUUGAGAUUAAGGAUGUGAUGAGGAUUUGACAUGAAU